CCAAGAAUAUAUGAAUAAGACGUGGAAAUAAAUAAAUUUUAAAAUUUAUUAGCAUGGCCCCUGCACAAGGAUGACACACAAAAUCGUGAAUCGUUCCACAUUUUU